UACGUAGGGGGCAAGCGUUGUCCCGGAUUUAUUGGGCGUAAAGAGCGUGUAGGCGGCCUGAAAGGUCAGCUGUGAAAACUCGAGGCUCAACCUCGAGACGUCGGUUGAAACCAUCUGGCUAGAGUCCGGAAGAGGAGUGUGGAAUUCCCGGUGUAGCGGUGAAAUGCGUAGAUAUCGGAAGGAACAUCGGUGGCGAAAGCGGCGCGCUGGACCUCUUCUGACGCUGAGGCGCGAAAGCCAGGGGAGCAAACGGG
rnacentral:rRNA from 1 species